UACAGAGGUCCCAAGCGUUGUUCGGAUUCACUGGGCGUAAAGGGCGCGUAGGCGGCCUGGCAAGUCUGAUGUGAAAUCUCCGGGCCUAACUCGGAAACUGCGUCGGAUACUAUCCGGCUAGAGGAUUGGAAGGGAGACUGGAAUACUUGGUGUAGCAGUGAAAUGCGUAGAUAUCAAGUGGAACACCAGUGGCGAAGGCGGGUCGCUGGGCCGAUACUGACGCUGAGGAGCGAAAGCGUGGGGAGCGAACAGG
rnacentral:rRNA from 1 species